rnacentral:tRNA from 1 species
UGGGGGAUAGUAUAACGGCAGUACCACUGACUCUGAAUCAGUUAGUCAAGGUUCGAAUCCUUGUCCCCCAG